rnacentral:lncRNA from 10 species
GUGGCUGGAUCUCAGAAGCAUAUGAUUUCAAUAACUAAUGGGCAGGCGUCUUGGGACGCAAAGGGCCAAGGCAUCAGAAACACUUGGUACCAGCUUCCACAGCAACAAUGAGAGGUAACCCCAGUGCUUCCACUACCAACAGGACAUUACCACUUGCAGGCAGAGAAACAGACAAGAAAAAUAGUGGAUGCCACAUAUUAGGACUCGUCUGA